rnacentral:rRNA from 1 species
GACGAACGCUGGCGGCGUGCUUAACACAUGCAAGUCGAACGGAAAGGCCCUGCUUUUGUGGGGUGCUCGAGUGGCGAACGGGUGAGUAACACGUGAGUAACCUGCCCUUGACUUUGGGAUAACUUCAGGAAACUGGGGCUAAUACCGGAUAGGAGCUCCUGCUGCAUGGUGGGGGUUGGAAAGUUUCGGCGGUUGGGGAUGGACUCGCGGCUUAUCAGCUUGUUGGUGGGGUAGUGGCUUACCAAGGCUUUGACGGGUAGCCGGCCUGAGAGGGUGACCGGCCACAUUGGGACUGAGAUACGGCCCAGACUCCUACGGGAGGCAGAAGUCGGGAAUAUUGCACAAUGGGCGGAAGCCUGAUGCAGCAACGCCGCGUGCGGGAUGACGGCCUUCGGGUUGUAAACCGCUUUCGCCUGUGACGAAGCGGGAGUGACGGUAAUGGGUAAAGAAGCACCGGCUAACUACGUG